rnacentral:rRNA from 1 species
AUACGUAGGAGGCGAGCGUUGUUCGGAAUCACUGGGCUUAAAGAGCGUGUAGGCGGAGUGUCAGGUGUCUUGUGAAAGCCCCGGGCUCAACCCGGGAAUUGCUGGGCAAACCGGCACUCUUGAGGCAGGUAGAGGUCAUUGGAACGACUGGUGGAGCGGUGAAAUGCGUAGAUAUCAGUUGGAACGCCGGAGGCGAAAGCGAGUGACUGGGCCUGUCCUGACGCUGAGACGCGAAAGCGUGGGUAGCAAACAGGAUUAGAAACCCCAGUAGUCC